AACGAACGCUGGCGGCAGGCCUCAAACAUGCAAGUCUAGGGGGUGUAGCAAUACAUCACCGGCGGACGGGUGCGUAACGCGUGGGAAUAUACCUUUUGGUUCGGAACAACUGAGGGAAACUUCAGCUAAUACCGAAUGUGCCCUAACGGGGAAAGAUUUAUCGCCAAAGGAUUAGCCCGCGUAGGAUUAGCUAGUUGGUGAGGUAAUGGCUCACCAAGGCUCCGAUCCUUAGCUGUUCUGAGAGGAAGAUCAGCCACACUGGGACUGAGA
rnacentral:rRNA from 1 species